GUGAAAAAGCAAGUCAGGAAGGAGUGGCAAUGACUCUGUGGUCUCUGCUCCGGUUCAUGCCUUGGACUUCCCUGAGGAUGGGCUCCAGUCUCUGCACCCUGCAUUGAAAAGCCAACUCCGACACCACACACCAAUGGGAGAGAGACUCCAAACUCACAUUCACCGUGCCUUCUUGGAAAUGCCGCCGCUGCUGUUUGCUUUCUUUGGUGACACAUCUUCAGAAAUGCACAGGAAAGUAGAGAGUGACCUGAGUUGACAGAUCAGCGCAAUGAUUACAGAGGGUGGUGGCUGCUCUCCAUUGGGACAGAGUGCUCUUUGGGCUGUCUAUGGUGACUGCAGCUGCCCAUCCACAGAUUUAACACGAUCAUCUGAAAAGCACACAGGGGGAAGAGCCAAGGCUAGCGGAAGUCCACGGUGUAAAUGCCUAGAGUUUAUCCCCAGUCCUUUCUCUCAGAAUUUCUAGAGGCUUCUAUUCACAUGGGGAUGCAACAAGCUGUUCAGAAUGCUUAAACACAAAUGUGUACAAACAGCAGUCUCUGCAGUUCUGAAGAAAGUGAAGGGACCUGUCUCUUUUCAUCACACAUACACCAAGUUUUCCAUCUACACACACAAUCUAUUAUUUCAUUAACAUGGUAAGCUUAUCUGUAAUUUACUUACAAAUUUAUUAGUAAAAAUAUCCAUAGUAUGUCCUUGUUUUCCUUGUGCUAAAAUGAAUUAACAUUUAAGGGAGAACUCUUUCUAAAGCAAUUGACUUGUUUAAAUGGGGCAAUAAAAUGGAUUUCUUAAUAGCCAUGCAAUAAACCCUGACUGCCUUAUAAUCUGCCAAGGGCCCUCACAUAUAAUACUGUAUCUGAUUCCCAUGUUGACUUUGUGGAUUAAGUGUAUCUGGUAAGCUAGAUCUACAAAAGUAGAUUGAAGAAGAGAAGGUAAGACCUUCAGUUCCUAAGCAGCUGUUGCACAAUGACUACAACCUACGCUUUGAGACUCUUAGUGAAGAAAGCUUUACCUGCAGCAGUUCUUAGGGUUGCUAUAGCUAUACCACUCCAUAAUAAAAGUCUCCUUAGGACUCCUCCUCGCUCUGCUCUGCC